rnacentral:rRNA from 1 species
GAUGAACGCUGACAGAAUGCUUAACACAUGCAAGUCGAUGGGGAAGUGGUGCUUGCACCAUGGUAACCAUGGCGGACGGGUGAGUAACGCGUAAGGAACUUGCCUGCGGGACUGGGAUAACAGCAGGAAACUGCUGAUAAUACCGGAUAAGGUCAUUAAGCUGCAUAGCUUAGUGAUGAAAGGAGACGCCUGCGGAGAGCCUUGCGUCCUAUUAGCUAGUUGGAGGGGUAACGGCCCACCAAGGCGAAGAUAGGUAGCCGGCGUGAGAGGGUGGACGGCCAAAAUGGGACUGGGAGACGGAGCUGACUCUUACGGGAGGAAGCAGAGGGGCAUAUCGGACAACGGCGGCAACCCUGAUCAAGCUAUUCUGUGUGAAAGAAGUGGUUUUUCGGAAUGAAAAGUGCUUUCAGCAGGGACGCAGGAAGUGACGGUACCUGCAGAAGAAGCGACGGCUAACUACGUG